AUGGCAAUGUUGUGUUCUGUCAAGGGGAGGGGAGGCUGUAGAGAUGACUACUGACCAUGAACCUAAUACUGAGUGGGGCAGCAUUGAGAACAGAGGUGGCUUUGUCUCAAACAUGCCAGAAGAAGGCAAGCAUUCCUACAUAGACUGGAAAUAACAUUUCUACCUAUUCAGCUUUAUUCAUUUAUCUAAAGACAUAGGGUGUUUCCUGGACUUAUUCCUGGCUUUCUCUGAUGCCUUGUUCCAUCAAUUGCUUGUGGCCAUGGCUCAUCCAGACCGUGAAACACAAAUUGGAGCACAUAGUGUCUUCUCUAUGGUGCUUAUGCCAUCAAUGGUUUCUCUUUGGUUGGACCAGAAAACAAAGAUGGCUAUGAAGGUACAGAGUUUAUAAGAGGAUGAUGAAGAGGAUGAUGAAGUCCCAAAACUAGUUCAUCAGUUCUAUUUUCUGAAGCUUUGGCCAUCAUCAAAGCCUGAUUCAAUAUCUCAAAUCAAGAAACAAGAGCUCACGGUGGAGAAAAUGAACCGAGACAUUCGUG